rnacentral:rRNA from 1 species
UACGGAGGGUGCAAGCGUUUAUCCGGAUUCACUGGGUUUAAAGGGUGCGUAGGCGGGUUGGUAAGUCCGUGGUGAAAUCUCCGAGCUUAACUCGGAAACUGCCGUGGAUACUAUCAAUCUUGAAUAUCGUGGAGGUAAGCGGAAUAUGUCAUGUAGCGGUGAAAUGCUUAGAGAUGACAUAGAACACCAAUUGCGUAGGCAGCUUACUACACGAUCAUUGACGCUGAGGCACGAAAAGCGUGGGGGAGCAAACAGG